AGUUCAAGCCCAAAGGCCCUA
rnacentral:siRNA from 1 species